rnacentral:lncRNA from 10 species
CUCGGAAUUUACCUCUUGAAAGUCCAGGCAGUUCAGCGGCAUCCGGUCCACCCCCACUGCGGUGCAGUGCCAGGGUGAGCCAGCCACCCCCGGCGGGAGAAACACCAUCCCCACAGCCGGCGCUCCUGUGCCCCCUCCUCCCAGCCCCGGGCAGGCCUCGCCUCUGUGCGUUUCCCAUGGAUGAGGUCAUAGAGCGCGUGGCCUUCCGUGCCUGCCUCUUCCGGGCAGCAGCAUGGUGGGUGUUUCUGAGGCUCCUCCGUGUCGCUCCACCCGUCAGCACUUCAUGCCUCUCGGGGCUGGGCCACAUUUCGUUGCAGGGAUGGGCCACGUUUUUAACCUGUCCAUCAGCGGACGGACGUUUGGGCUGAUUUUAUCUUUUGGCUAUGAUGAAUAACGCGGUGAUCAACAUUGAUUCACAAGUUUUGUGCGGACCCGUUUUCAGUUGUCCUGAGUAUCAGCCCGGGCCUAGACUUCCCGGGUUAUAUGGUGAUACAGUUUAAACGCAUGUCCUUGCCAAGCCUCGUGUUGAACUGUCAUCCCCCGUGUUGGAGGUGGGGCCUGGGGGCAGGUGUUUAGGUCACGGGCGUGACUCCCUCAGGAAUGGCUUGAGCCAUCCCCGUGGUGAAGAGUGAGCUCUCACUCUGGGUUCCUGUGAGAUCUGGUGUUUAAACGUGUGUGGCACCUCCCCGACCCCGCUGCUCCCGCUUUCACCACGUGACUCGCCUGCUCCCCCUUCACCUUCCACCAUGAGUAAGAGUUUCCUGAGGCCUCCCCAGAGGAAGAAGCCCUUAUGCUCCUGUACAGCCUGCAGAACUAACCUCCUGUGCAAUGCUGAAUGGGACCAUUGAGAGUGCUGUCCCUGACUUGUUCCUGGCCUCAGGGGAAGCACUCAGUCUUUCACAAGUAGGUGUGAUGUCAGCUGUCGGGUGUUCAGAGAUGCCUUUUAUCAGGUUGAAGAAGUUGCUUCUACUCCUGUUUGCCAAGAGUGUUUUGAGAAUGCAUGUUGGAAUUUGUCAAAUGCUUUUUCUGUGUCUAUUGAGACAAUCACAUUGUUCUUCUUUCAGUUUGUUAAUAUGGUGACUUAAAUUGAUUUUUACGUGUUCAAUCCUUAAGACAAUCCUGAUAUAUUGGGGAAAAUUCUCCUUGGUUAUGAUGUAUCAUCUUUUUAAUAUGUUGUUGGGUUCAAUUUAGUAAGCUUUUGUUUAGGACUUCUAAAGGGGGAUGCUUGUUCCUAUAUUCUUCUCCUGUAAUGUCUUUGGUUUUCAUAUCAAGAUCAUGCUGGCCUCCUGGAAGGACUUGAGAAAAAU